rnacentral:lncRNA from 1 species
UUCAUGUUUGGUGUUUUGCUAGUGGACUGGACUGCUGACAGUGAAGAUUGGAAUCGCCCCAAAGAAAUACUUUUCAACAGGUUCACGACCCUCAUUUCCUAUUAGCCUUCCUUUUUCCUACUUCUGAUGGGCACUGAACUAGAAGGAAGGUUAAAGCAUUAAAGAACCAUAAUUAAAGUAAGUUUUGAAAAAUCUAAGCCUACAGUAAAGGCAUUUACAAAGGUUCUGGAUCCCUGGAAAAGACACUGCUCAAACUGAACAUAGAUGAAUGCUUCAUUUUCUCUCUAACUAUUCAAGGAUUAUAUUUCUCUCUCUAUUUAAAGAUUGAAAGGAUUUCAGGAUUUAAUUUGGCUUUAUAAUUAUGUAAACUAUUCUCAUAGCUCCAAGACAUAUCUAUAACUUAAGGUUCAUUUAAUCACCUAGGUUGUGUGCCCAUCAACUCCAAUAUUUCUUAUUGAUUCUAUGAUUUGCUACAUCCAUGCAGGUGUGGCUAUGGCACUUCAUAACAAGCCAACCCUCUUCUGGCACUUGACAAUGCCAUCUACAGGUCACCCCAUUAUGUAUUAAGAUCUAGCUUAUGUUUUGUAUAGCUGUAUAGCAUUUCAUUUUCUAGAUCACCAUGAUUUAUUAAAUCAGUCUGGUCCUAGUAGAUAUCUUGAUUAUUCCCAGUGUUUGUACAUAAGAAUCACUAAUGUUGAGUAUUUUUAUACUUUUGCCAGUGUACCUUUGAUAUCUAUUUCUAGAACUGAGAUUCCAAGACAAAGGUAAACAUGGAAAAUUUGGUCACUGUUGCCAAAUUCUCCCCAGGAAAUAACGAUUCUGCUUUAAAGCCAUCAUUAUUAGAGGUUUAGUUUUCCCCUUGCCUUGCCAACAGAAAGCAUUUUAAACUUUUGGACUCUUGCCCAUCAGGUGAAAAUUAUUUUCAAUGUAGUUUUAAUAUGCAUUCAUAUCCUCAGAUUAAGCAUAAAACAUUGGGUACAUUUACAUUCAUUUCUCCGUACGCUGAUUGAAGAUUGGGCCUACUAUUUUACAGGGCUCUUGUCUCUUUGGUUAUCUGUUUUCAAAAGUUCCAUUCAUUAGAAAUAUAAACCCUUUAUCUACCACAAAUUUCUCUAAAUUGAUUUUUAUGUUAAACAAUUUUCACGUGACAAAAACCAUUUGCCACUAAAUUUAUCAGUUUUAUACAUCAUUCCUAUAAAAUUAUUGGUGGAAGCCUGUGAAGAUGACUCUGUCAAUAAAGGGCUUGCUGAGCAGCUAUGAGGACUUCAGUUCAAUCAGAAUCCACAUUACAAAAAACAAAACAAAACAAAACAAAACAGGGCACAGCAUUAUGGCUCUGUAAUCCCUGAGCUGAGGAGAUGGAGACAGAAGGACCUCUGGGCCUGUCUGGCCAGUCUAGCUAAAUUAGAAAAUUUGAGUUUUAAUGAGAAACUUUGUCCCGAAAGUAGAAAAAAAAAUGAGGAACGCACAUAACAUUGACUUCUUACCUCUUCAGGCAUGUGCACACAUGCUCACACACACACACAACAGAUAGAUACAUAGAUAGAAGGAGAGAAGAUAGAUUUGUAGUUAAGGAUAUUUUCUGUAAUCUACUUAGGAGUUAACAUAUAUUUUCUCCUGACGCUAACAUAACACAUUGGCUAAGACUAGGCAUGUCUGGGAUUCAAGAGAAUAAUUGCAUUAUUAGCUCUGUCACGUAUUUUUAUGAUUUAAUUGAAAUAGAAUUACAUCGCUUUCCCCUCCCUUCCCUCUCUCCAACCCCUCUUAGCUAACCUCCCUGAAACCCCUCCCAUGUUCACCCAACUCUCAAGUCCAUAGCCUCUUUUUAUUUGUUUAUUACUGUUUCAUAAAUGUAUGUACAAAUAUACGUAAGUAUAACCUACUGAAUCUAAUUUUGUUGUUUGUGAAUAUAUGGUUUCAAGACUGUACACUCUUAUGCAGACAACCACUAGGGAAAUCAUCUUCGGAAGAGGCUAAUUCUCCUCCGGGGUCUUUGUCUAGGUGUAGGACCCUACAACAUUUUCCCAACUCCACAUCAGCAGGCUCAUUAGUAUUGCCAUUUCUUGGGUCUUAUUUGUGCAAGCAUUUCUAAGAGAAAGUGUUCAACAACAGACUUUCUGGUUAUUCUGAAUCUUACAAACUUUCUGCCCUAUCACCAUGCCUAACACAUAGUAGGCACCUUAGAAAUAACUUACUGGGGAUCAAAUUAGGUUAUUAAAAGUUAUUUUGUAUGUCUAUAUUACCUUGAAAUGUUUUGUCUUUCUCAGAAAUAUACGUGUGCAUGCAUACACACACACACAUACACAUACAUACAUUAUAGGAAGUACAAAUAUAGCUUGUUUUCCAAGUAGCUGAAACUAACUUUGUUGAUGGGCUCCCUGGUUGUAGAUGGGAAAGAGGUUGGAGAGCCUAUGCAGCCUCACUCAGAAACAGCUGGGCCUCCUUCACCCCACUUCCCUUCUUGAGAUGCUCUCUGAAUGACUGCAAAGGCAUUCACUCCCGGAUGUCAGUGCUAUGGAGAGAUUUUCUGACAGUUAAUAUGGCUGGUUCCCAACCAAGGAGUCGCCUCAGCACAUCUUCUCACAUUUGGGAAGAUGUUACAACUCCAAAUUCCUGUCUUUUCAGUUUCAAAUAAAUAACUACCAAGUGGUAUUGUAAGGAAAAUGCUGGUUAGAAGGUCUUGAGAAAUAACCUACGUCUCAAAGAAUCAAGUAGAGCUUGCCAAACAAGCUUGAUGACUUGAGUCACAUCCCAGGAUCUCACAGAGAGAGAAGAGAACUAUCUGAGAGUUGACCUCUGACCUCCACAGUGAACGCCAUGGCCCAUGCUUCAUGCUUCUUCUCUCUCCCACUCACAUACAUAUACACAGUAAUAAUAAUAAAUAAAAUUUUAAGUUAAAUGCCAAAACUUUUGUUGACUUCAAUAUAUUUCAUUAAAUAAAACUGAGUUCCCAGGGUUAAAUCCAUACAGCUUACUACCUUGAUCACAUUGCCUU